rnacentral:other from 2 species
UAAAGGCUGCGAUGCGCGUAAUGUUAAUUAAGUUUUAACCUUUAAGCUGUAAUAGGGAGUUUUAUAUUGAAGCCGGAAUGUCAUGCCUCCUAGAGAGGAAGACAGGAACGUUUCUGCAAACACCCACUUUGAGGAGUGGUGGUUUAAAACUUUCUUACUUAGAUUACGGCAUCCGCAGCUUUUCC